UGGGAGGUUUAGGGGCUAAAGGCUUCUUUUUGUUGUUUCCUUUUUGUGUUACGUGUAAUUCAAGCCAAGGACUUUAUAUGUAAAAGAGUUAGAACUCUUCUUUUGUGUAACCAAGUAUUGACUUGGAAGGUUGUAAGCCGUUGGGCAUCUAUUUUUGUUGACAAGCAUGUAACACCUUUUGUAAAGAACACUCUGAUAUAUGGAAUAUAAUACUUCUUCUAUGUUUUAUGGAUCUUAUGAAUGAAUGAGUUAUGUCUUAUUUUGAGGGCGUUACAUAUAUGGUUUUAAUCCAUGAGAAAGAAAAUAGAUUCAUUUUGUAAAAGAAAAAAUAUAUUGAAUUUAAGUAUUUGGUUUCGACAAUUGUUAAUUAUUUUUGUUGUUGUGUGUUUGCACUCGAAUGUAUGUGAGAGGUGUCAUUGUUUUUUUAUUCUGGCUGUCUAAUGGUUCAUGGACUUCUUUGUGGGUUCUAACAAUACAUCUUAUGAUUUACCCUAUGGUGUUUAGGGCAAGAAAAGAAAUGAUACAAUCUGCAUUGCACUUCUAAUGACACUUGUGAUCAACCAAAGAUUAGGAUGAAUAAUGUUGUUAUUACUCCAUCAUUCAAGAUUGGCGAUGGAUGGAACGUAAUUCAGGAACAUCGGAGGAUUAUAUUUUGAAUUUUUGAAUAUGUUUUGUUAUAGGAUUUUGUUAUGAAUUUGUAAGUUUGGAAGUUUUUUUGGAAUUCAUUGUGACAUGUUUGAAGUUUCAAAUUGUAAGGGAUUUGUACUUAUGCUGGAUGUUUUGGAUUUGAUAUUUUAGUUAUGUUUAAUAUGCUUGUUACUUUUGAAUUA